GCGAGAGCCCGAGCGGCAGCGGCGCAGGGCUGAGCCCCGGGGCGGAGCUGGCGGCGGCCCAGAGGAGGCGGCACGGCCGCAGCAGAGCCGGGGCUCAGGGGCACAGCGAGGCUCGGCCGGCGGAGCGGCGCCAUGCGGCGGGCUCGGGCCGCGGGGCUGCCGGCGCUGGCCGCGCUGCUGCUCGUGGCUUCAGGCAGAGCCCAAGUGCAGCAGGAGCCGUUCCUGGAGACCACCGAGGGCACCGGCAUCAACAUCACCUGCUCACAUCCCAGAAAACAGAUCGAGGAUUACAUCCAUUUCUACCGUCAGCUGCCGGGUCGAGCACCCGAAUUCCUCGCCCUCGCUGCUAGAGGCUCCAAGGAUGUGGCGGCGAUUGCAGGAACGCUGUCGGUGUCGGAGGACGGGCGCUCCAGCGCGCUGUGGCUGGCUGCGCCCCGGCGCGGGGACGCGGCCGUGUAUUACUGCGCGCUGGGGACCACGGGCAGAGGAGCCGGGGCUGCGGCCGGGCACGAACCGCCGCGGGCGGGGCCGGGCGGGGCCAGCAGGGGCCGCUGCCGCUCCGCCCGCCGGGCUCCCGGGGCGCGGCUCCGCAGCUCCUUCCUCUGCCCCGAGCCCGCCCGCACCGACAGCGCCGAUGGCACCGAAAAGGCCGACACGCUCCGGGCCUGCUGGCCCUCCCUUUAACUACUAUUGCUUCUCCUCCCUUCCAUCACAUCCCUCAGCAUCCCUGACGCCUUGCUGGCAACAAAGCAGCAACCCGAGUAGAAGAAGCAAUUAAAGAACUCCUACUGCACAUACACGAGUUCAU